rnacentral:rRNA from 1 species
UACGUAGGGCGCAAGCGUUGUCCGGAAUUAUUGGGCGUAAAGAGCUCGUAGGCGGCCUGUUGCGUCCGCUGUGAAAUCCCGGGGCUCAACCCCGGGCGUGCAGUGGAUACGGGCUGGCUGGAGGCAGGCAGGGGAGAACGGAAUUCCUGGUGUAGCGGUGAAAUGCGUAGAUAUCAGGAGGAACACCUGUGGCGAAAGCGGCUCACUGGACCAUAACUGACGCUGAUGCACGAAAGCUAGGGGAGCAAACAGG